rnacentral:lncRNA from 1 species
CCAAGAGAAAAGGCACUUGGGAAGUCUGCUAAACCCAGGAACAAAGGAUGGAAAAUACCAUAACAUCUGAGGUACUACUGCUGCAUCCACCUGUCUCCAGCCUCUGCAAGCCCCUCUCACUCCUACAGCUGGACCCGGGCUGCCUGACAACUCGAUUGUCUUUCAGUCAGGUUUGGCCUCCCCCGUGGCUGAAAGGUGCAUUGCUACAUGGAACAGACUGUUCCCCGUGCACAGCUGCAGCGUGGGAUCACAAGGAGACUGGCACAGCAGCAGGAUAUUUCCAUGGUAAGUUCAUCAUUUUGGCAGUUUUCUUAUCAGUUACAGAUCCACUUAUUUCUGGAAUAAGUCAGCUAUUCUUUACAUAACUGCUUGUAUUGGAACCAGAGUGGAAAGACAAUUAGGAAAAAACAAACAAACAAACAGAAAGCACUUUAAAAACAUUUUCAAGACAUUUUAGUGCACAUGCAUGCAGGUAGACUGAUUAUAACAAGCUAAAUAACCAGCUGUGCUGUGCUGAUACAUGGCAUGGAAGUCUAGCCCAAGGAUUCCCUAGGGGAUUAAGGGGAUCUACCUUUGUUUUAUCAGUAUGGGCUGGGUGCUGGAAUCAUACUCAGACAGACAUCAUAAAACUGUGAUGUGUCAGCAUGUUUAGUAAGGAGAAGCCCAGCCACCACACUUAAAUUAACAGGAAUAAGAAGAGCUGCCCACAGAGCACCCAGCUUUCUGAUUGUGUUUCCUGCAUUUCCUUCAGAAUAUCUGAAGGGCUAAAACCUCUAGCCACGUUUGAAGAAAAUCUAAUUUGAUUUCUUGCAUUUAAAAACAAA